AAUUAGCACCCGAAUGGGAGUGCCUCCCCCAGCUGCCUCUGGGCUCGUGAAGAGCCCAGAGCUAGGGAUAUAGGUGAAGGAGCCAGGAAGAGCUUUUCCUUGGGGGGUUUGUAUGGUGUGUCCUCACCUCUGUGUGCUCUGAAUAUACCCUUAGGCUGGGUUAGGCUGAACUGGACAGUAUCUGCACCAGAUUUUCUUUGCAACUGACUUAUUUGUGGUUUGGGUGCUCUUCAUAACGCUGCAGAGGGGAGCAGAGCCCUGCAAGGCAGUGCUGUCCGUGUGCUGCUGGCUGCUCGUGUACAUGGGUAGCACACCUGAUGCUUCGAGUCCAAGUCCAUCUGCACAAUUCCCUUCUUCCUGCUGUUACCUGAAGGAAACUCCUGCCUAGUAGUGGCCAGUCUCAGCAUCACAAGAGCUGGCUGGGGAGAUUGCUUCAUGCCAGGGCUGAAGGCAAAACCCAGGACCUGGUGCUCCGAUGGUUCCUCUGCCUGCACCGAUGCACAAACCUCUCCUCCUGGGCAGGACCCGGAGUGGAUGCAGAGCUCUGUGGCUGUGAGGAGUCCUCCUUCCACAAGGGCUCCAGAGCUUGGGAAGAGAGGAUUCAGACCCAGGGCACUACCUCAAACAGCUGCGACUUCCCCCAAACCUGGUUGCGGUUUUGUGUGGCUCAGCGUUAGAGUUACCCGUGGCUCGGUGACACCUGGAAAUGCAUUUGCCAGCUCGAUUGUUCCGACAAACCCAAUUACCGGCUGCUCAGGGAGCUCCCACCCCGCACUUAGCAGAGACGCAGCAUUGAUCCAGGGCGGAUUUUCCUGAGGCUGGGUUCAACAAGCAGCAUGCCCCUCGGGCUGGAUGUGACCUGAUGGAGAGCUCUAGCUAAAUGGAAACAAUUUGAACAGCUUUGUUGAAUUCUCAAUUAGCUUGCAAAUAAGGGAAUACCUGCAAAACUGAU